UAAAAGGAUCAGAUAUUUUCCACCAUCUUCUCUCUCUCGUUCUUUGAAGAUUAGGGUAUUUUCACCACGAAAAUUCCCUCUUAGCUUCCGCAAAUUUCUCUCUUAACAUGGUAUCAGAGAGGGACAUGAGUUCCUAUCCCCGCUUAACUUCAUUCGAUCGUACUCGUAUAGUUUGCUGUUUACAAUUUUAGGUUAUUGAAACCCUAGCUUUUGAUUUGGGGUUUUUCUUCGACUGAAACGAAAUUCAAUAUCAGCCAUGGUUUUUCGAAGGUAUAAUGACGGUUCGCUGGUGGCGUUCCUCUUAUUUCGACCGCUGAAUACAGGGCUCUCAGAAAGGUGGUUGCAGAGGUCUCAUGGUUGGCCAGGGUACUGGGUGAUCUUGGUUUACAUGUUUCUGCUCCUGCUCCCAUCUAUUAUGACAACCUUGUUGCUUUACACAUUGCCAAGAAUCCAGUCUUCCAUGAAAGGACAAAGCAUCUCGAAAUUGAUUGUCACUAUGUGCGUGAGAGUCUUAAUUCUGGGCUGAUAUCUCUGCACUUUGUCCCCAGUUCUGUAACAGAAGUUCACAAAUGUCCUGCUAGCAGAAUUCCAUUGCCAAAAUCAAUUUUAUCAUCUAGGUAUCAUCCAUUUAAGCAUCUAGGUGUCCCUCUGGACAGAAUUUUACUAUGGUGCAAUGGCAAUCCUUGAUUGAGAAAAUAAUAGUAGCAAAAAUCUCCUCUAAAACAGUAAAAAAAAAAAAAAACAUUUGCUGGUAGAUCACUUCAACUGGUGCAAACUAUCUUUUUUGGUAUUCAAUCAUACUGGGCUUAAUUGUGAACACUGCAUGUAUAUGUGCUUUGUCAAAAUAGUACUGAGACCAAAGAUCAGUUAUUUUGAGGAUGUCCUUUUAUCUAACCUACGUACUAUGGAGCACACUUUUGAGAUGGGUGCAGAGAUACAACAAAGUUGGCUUCAUCAACGUCGUUUCCAGUGGAUCAUACAACAGUCUAAAGGGAAGAAAACGAUGGCCAGAUUGCUUAUAUACACUGAAUAUGUGCAUGUAAUAUAGAGACAAAGGAAUUGCUCAAUCUUUGAACAAAUCUCAAAGAGCCGGACAUUAAAUGGUGGAUCCCGAAGAGGCACGAUGGUUUAUUAGAUGCCUAUAUGAUUUUGAAACGGUUCUUUUUCACCUUUUUUUUUUAAUUAAUUAUUAGAGAGCUGUAAUGUAAUCAAGCCUUUAAUUGUUUGGACGAACUGAAAAUCGUGAAGAUUUUUGUUCAUAACACCUGGGUUUCGGAUAAUUUUGAAACGGUUCAUUUCUUCUUA